UUGGGAUAUAUUCCUCUGUCUUCUUAUUUUGUCCAAAAUUCUGUGUCUAUUUCUGUGUGUUAGGAAAGUCAGCUACAUCUCCUGCACUUGAAAGUAGUGGCAUUAUGAAGAAGAGGUCCUGUAGUGCCCUGCAGUGCAGUGUGGAACUGGUGGAACCUGGUGCUUCAGGAGUGUCUCUUAUGCUUCCUCUGAGAUGGCUCCAGGGAAAGGAAGAGGGAUAGAAGCCCAGGCUCCCUACGUACCUACUUGGCCUUCUCUGACACACCCCACUGAGAGUGAGUACUGAGUGUCUUAUUAAUGCCUCACAGUUGUGGAAGUCUAGACUCCCCAUUUUGCUUUUGCUGGCAUGAGUGGGAGUGAAGCCAUAAUGUUUUCUGUGGUGUUUGGCUGGAGUAGAGUUGUUAUUGUCUGAAAGUUUUCUGGCUUGCCA
rnacentral:lncRNA from 1 species